AGCUCCAAUAGCGUAUAUUUAAGUUGUUGCAGUUAAAAAGCUCGUAGUUGCAUUUCCGAGGCAAGGGAUUAGUCCGACCUUUGGUGGGUAUUUAAUCCUCUUGCCUCGUCCUUGAGUGGUGCUUCUUGGUAUUAAGUUAUCGAGGAGAUAGCCGCUCAUCGUUUACUGUGAGAAAAUUAGAGUGUUCAAAGCAGGCUUAUGCCGUUGAAUAUAUUAGCAUGGAAUAAUAAGAUAGGACCUCGGUACUAUUUUGUUGGUUUGAGAACCAAGGUAAUGAUGAAUAGGGACAGUUGGGAGUAUUCGUAUUCAGUUGUCAGAGGUGAAAUUCUUAGAUUUACAGAAGACGAACUACUGCGAAAGCAUUUACCAAGGAUGUUUUCA
rnacentral:rRNA from 1 species